rnacentral:lncRNA from 1 species
UGAAUGUUGAUGGAGUCAACAAUCAACUGUUUGACAGAGAACAAUCCUUCUUCUUCCUGUUCGGUGCUCCGAUUCACAUGGUCCUCCAAGAGCUCGAGCUUUUUGACCUCAAAGCGCCUCCACAGUAUUAGGAAAGGGGAGUUGAAGUCAUACAUAGCGUUUAUAUUUUUUUAAUCUUUCUUCCUUUCACACUGUUGUAAGAAGAACCAAAACAUUCUUCUUCUUCUGUUCGGUCAAAGAUGAGUGACGUUAUUGAUCUCUUCUUUCUCCUUCUUCGAGCUUUCUUUUCCCGUACGAUCAGAUGUCUUCAUCUUCCAUUUUUCAGCGAAUACCAGCACGAAUUUUGGUCAUUCGAAUCCCUCAUUUUUCCGGGGAAGAACAGCAAAACUUUCUCCUCGUCAAAUCUCUCAUUUUCCGGCUGAUGCUGAUUCUCCGCCGUCGGACCCCUUGUUUUUCUGGCGAAGUUCAAUCGACGUUCUCGUCAUCAAAACUCCUGUUUUUCCGGCGAGAAUUUCACGGAUUUCGGUCGUUCCGAACGACUCAUUUUUCCAACGCAGUGGAUGAGUUGAUCUUCAUCCUAUUAUCAGAGCUCGGGGGAGAAGGCAGCGCUACACCAUGAGUCACCGAGGAAACCCAAUAUUUCUGCUGAGAAUCCCACGCUCCUUUUUCCUCGAUUCGUCCGUUUCCCGUCGCGAUCUUCCGGUCUGUUUUCCGCAAUGUUCCGCCGAUUCUUCUCGUCGGUCUGUGAUUCCUCGUCACGACUUCCCGUCCGUUCGCUCCUCGUUCAACCAAGGCGUUUCUCCGUUGAGGUUUUUCGUGAUUUUUCUCUACCGCGCUCCUCCAUCAUACGAAAGAGAAAUGAGAGAGAGAGAGAGAGAGAUCAUUUAGUAUGACGAUAAGUUCGCAGAGAACAAGAGAGCGAAUUUAAUAUGAAGAACAAGAGAGUGACUAUGCCCAAAAAUAAUCAAUUUCAACUUAAAUUAAGGCCCAAGGAUAAAAUCAAUUUCAACUCGAUUCUGGACCCAUAAUCAAAUCUAUUAAACUUAAAACUAACUCCAAGAGUCAAAUGUAUUAAUAUUAAAACUAACUCCAAGAGUCAAAUCUAUUAAACUUGAAACUAACUCCAAUAAUUAAAUCUGGUAAACCUAAAAUUAAGUCCAAUAAUCAAACCAGUUUCAACUGGAAUUCAGGACCAAUAAUCAAAUCAGUUUUUACUUAAUUUAGGCCCCAUAAUGAAAUCAAUUAC